rnacentral:rRNA from 1 species
CCAAUAGCGUAUAUUAAAGUUGUUGCAGUUAAAAAGCUCGUAGUUGAAUUUCGAGACCGGCUUACUGGUCGUGCUUUUGUACGUACUGGUAUAAUCGGUUUCUCCUUUCUGACGAACUAUAAUGCCAUUAAUUUGGUGUUAUAGGGAAUCAGGACUGUUACUUUGAAAAAAUUAGAGUGUUUAAAGCAGGCUCACGCUUGAAUACAUUAGCAUGGAAUAACGGAAUAGGACGUUUGAUUCUAUUUUGUUGGUUUCUAGGAUCGACGUAAUGAUUAAUAGGGUUAGUUGGGUGCAUUAGUAUUCAAUUGUCAGAGGUGAAAUUCUUGGAUUUAUUGAAGACUAACUACUGCGAAAGCAUUUGCCAAGGAUGUUUUCAUUAAUCAAGAACGAAAGUUAGGGGAUCGAAGACGAUCAGAUACCGUCGUAGUCUUAACCAUAAACUAUGCCGACUAGGGAUCGGAUGAUGUUAAUUUUUUAAUGACUCAUUCGGCGCCUUAC